rnacentral:lncRNA from 1 species
AGGCUCUGCAGCAAACUUGAUAGUAUGUGAACAAGCUCGUCGCGCUCAACCCUUUGGCUACAAUCUCUCUUUCUGGAGUCAUGAAAUCUGUAUUUUAGUAUAUGCUUUUGACAUGGUGAUACUAAAAUUAAAGAAGACUAUUAUGUAUCAAAUGUAUACUUUUUAUUCAGUUAUUAGUCAGGAUAUUAGUGGGAAAAAAUCAUAGUUAUAUGAUUUUUAUGUGAGAAAACAAAGUUAUAUAACUUUGAUGGAAAAAAAUCAUAGUUAUAUGGCCAUUUGUAAAAUUUACCCAAAAAACUCCACUGAGUUAAGAUUGUUCAAAUCAUUUGAUUAGCUAGUGGUAGGGAAAUGAAAUACUUGCUUAAGUUCCGUGAUUAGACGAGAUUAAGUAAAAUAACUGUUAUAGGAGUCACAAAUUAAAAUUAAAAUGCAUAUAACUCAACCACAGUGAAGCAGAAAAAAGUUUAUAUGCAAGAUGUAACUUUGCAUUAAUUUAUAUGGUAUAAACAACAAGUGCGAUUAUGUUUUUUUAAUAGCGUCUUGUGCCAGGGGUGAAGCUACAUUGUUCUAAGGGCAAUCACUUGAUCACCCUUUGUUGAAUAAACACUAGGGGUCGUUUGAUAUAAGGUAUAAGAAGAUAUAGUGCUGGCAUAAAAAUUUAAUACCAUCUUAAUACUUCGUUUGGUUAGCAAACCAAAUAUAAAUUAUCUCAGGAUUAAAAUUAACACCGGGACCUUAUAGAGGGCGGGGUAAUUAGCAUCAGUAUAAUUUAUACAUUCUUCUUACAAAUUAUGCAAUUCUCAUAUUUAAUACAACAUACCAAAUAAUGGAUAAAAAACAAUCUCAGCAUAACUAAUACAAGCAUAACUUAUCUUAGUAUAAUUUAUACCAGUAUAACUUAUCCCAUCAUAUUCAAACCAAACAAUCCCUAUGUAUAUAGACAAAAUAUUACAUAAAUUUUAAAGGAUAUAUAACAUAUAUUGAAUACCUCUUUUUGAUGAAAAUUUUUUUCACUUCUUUUAAGUUUAAACAAUCUCGAAGAAAUUCGCAUGGCUUCGUCCUGCGCUGCGCUGGCCUUGUUCUUCCUUCAGUAGAAGUUUAAUUAUUCACCCGACUCAGCUGAGCUUAAUGUAAAAGACUUCUC